GCCAGACUCCUACGGGAGGCAGCAGUCGGGAAUAUUGCGCAAUGGAGGAAACUCUGACGCAGUGACGCCGCGUGCAGGAAGAAGGUUUUCGGAUUGUAAACUGCUUUAGACAGGGAAGAUACAAGACAGUACCUGUAAAAUAAGCCCCGGCUAACUACGUGCCAGCAGCCGCGGUAAUACGUAGGGGGCUAGCGUUAUCCGGAUUUACUGGGCGUAAAGGGUGCGUAGGCGGUCUUUCAAGUCAGGAGUGAAAGGCUACGGCUCAACCGUAGUAAGCUCUUGAAACUGGGAGACUUGAGUGCAGGAGAGGAGAGUGGAAUUCCUAGUGUAGCGGUGAAAUGCGUAGAUAUUAGGAGGAACACCAGUUGCGAAGGCGGCUCUCUGGACUGUAACUGACGCUGAGGCACGAAAGCGUGGGGAGCAAACAGGAUUAGAUACCCCUGUAU
rnacentral:rRNA from 1 species